GAUGAACGCUGGCGGCGUGCCUAACACAUGCAAGUCGAGCGAACGGACCAGAAGUUUGCUUCUCUGAUGUUAGCGGCGGACGGGAGAGUAACAUGUGGAUACCCUCCCUAUCAGACUGGGAUAAUUUCGGGAAACCGGCUCUUAUACCGGAUAAUAUUUUGAACCGUAUUGUGCAAAAGUGAGAGUCGGUCUUGCUGUCACUUAUAGCUGGAUCUGGGCUGCAUUAGCUAGUUGGUAAGGUAACGGCUUACCAAGGCAACGAGGCAUAGCCGCCCUGAGAGGGUGAUCGGCCACACUGGAACUGAGACACGGUCCAGACUCCGACGGGGGGCAGCAGUAGGGAAUCUUCCGCAAGGGGGGAAAGCCGGACGGAGCAACGCCGCGUGAGUGAUGAAGGUCUUCGGAUCGUAAAACUCUGUUAUUAGGGAAGAACAUAUGUGUAAGUAACUGUGCACAUCUUGACGGUACCUAAUCAGAAAGCCACGGCUAACUACGUG
rnacentral:rRNA from 1 species